CAAUCCCGCAUACGUUCCUACGGGAAGAAAGCUGGGCAACUGGCGCUCAUUGCGGAGCUCGCGGCCCAUUAGCUAGUUGGGGGGGUAACGGCCUCCCAAGGCGACGAUGGGUAGCCGGCCUGAGAGGGUGAACGGCCACACUGGGACUGAGACACGGCCCAGACUCCUACGGGAGGCAGCAGUAGGGAAUCUUCCACAAUGGGCGCAAGCCUGAUGGAGCAACGCCGCGUGAGUGAAGACGGCCUUCGGGUUGUAAAGCUCUGUCUGUCGGGACGAAGACCGGGACGGGAGUCCCGGGGAGCCGGUACCGACGAAGGAAGCCCCUGCAAACUACGUGCCAGCAGCCGCGGUAAGACGUAGGGGGCAAGCGUUGUCCGGAAUUACUGGGCGUAAAGGGCGUGUAGGCGGUGCGAUACGUAGCGGUUU
rnacentral:rRNA from 1 species